GACGAACGCUGGCGGCGUGCUUAACACAUGCAAGUCGAACGGAAAGGCCUCUUUCGGGGGGUACUCGAGUGGCGAACGGGUGAGUAACACGUGAGUAACCUGCCCUUGACUUUGGGAUAACUUCAGGAAACUGGGGCUAAUACCGGAUAGGAGCUCCUGCUGCAUGGUGGGGGUUGGAAAGUUUCGGCGGUUGGGGGUGGACUCGCGGCUUAUCAGCUUGUUGGUGGGGUAGUGGCUUACCAAGGCUUUGACGGGUAGCCGGCCUGAGAGGGUGACCGGCCACAUUGGGACUGAGAUACGGCCCAGACUCCUACGGGAGGCAGCAGGGGGGAAUAUUGCACAAUGGGUGGAAGCCUGAUGCAGCAACGCCGUGUGCGGGAGGACGGCCUUCGGGUUGUAAACCGCUUUCGCUCAUGACGAAGCUUUGUGUGACGGUAGUGGGUAAAGAAGCACCGGCUAACUACGUG
rnacentral:rRNA from 1 species